rnacentral:rRNA from 1 species
CCUACGGGUGGCUGCAGUGGGGAAUAUUGGACAAUGGGCGAAAGCCUGAUCCAGCCAUGCCGCGUGUGUGAAGAAGGCCUUCGGGUUGUAAAGCACUUUCAGUGGGGAAGAAAGCCUUGGGGCUAAUACCCUCGAGGAAGGACAUCACCCACAGAAGAAGCACCGGCUAACUCCGUGCCAGCAGCCGCGGUAAUACGGAGGGUGCGAGCGUUAAUCGGAAUUACUGGGCGUAAAGCGCGCGUAGGCGGUCUGAUAAGCCGGUUGUGAAAGCCCCGGGCUCAACCUAGGAACGGCAUCCGGAACUGUCAGGCUAGAGUGCAGGAGAGGAAGGUAGAAUUCCCGGUGUAGCAGUGAAAUGCGUAGAGAUCGGGAGGAAUACCAGUGGCGAAGGCGGCCUUCUGGACUGACACUGACGCUGAGGUGCGAAAGCGUGGGUAGCAAACAGGAUUAGAUACCCUUGUAGUC